UCACAAAUUGAAUUCGCUCCAUUUUCCAAUUUCGCGAGCCCGAUUUCUCAUCAAUCUUCAUCCUUCGCUUGUCUCGGAGACGGAGAUCUUCAUUUUCUGCAUCAAAUUGCACACUUAUAAAUGGCGUGUGAAGACGCUCUGAAUGUAAAGGAUGACAUGCGAACCACAAUUGCCAACAGCAAACCGUUCCUGCUAUUACUUCUAAUUUUGAACUUCUGAGCAAGUGGCAAGAAACUAGGACAUCUAUUGCUGAAGAAGACAUUAACUUUGUUUGGAGGGUAUAGCUUACAGUUGCUACAAUCAAGAACAUGUAAGGCACAAGGAAUGAGGAAGUGCUUUGAAGAGAUUGUGUUCUCCUUUACUUAUCUCCAGGCUUCAUAUUUAUGGCUCAUUUUUCUUGUGUCUUUGUUGUCUGUAUUUUUCAGGUUUUGAAACAUUUGAAUCAUCUGCUGCACGCAUGCACCAUUCUAUGUUCCACCCAAAAACAGUGAAUAAGGAAAGAAAGUGUAUUAUUGGAGGAGAGCAGCAGUAAAGUGAAGAAACAGAAACGCAACGCGUGGAAAGGUUUAAGGUUUGUAGAAGCGAAGAGAAGAGAACAUGGUUGUUGACUAUGAAAAAGGUGUAUUUUGGCAGUAUAUGAUUAUGAUAUUUAAAUGCCAGAUGGCAGUAUACGGAGAAGGGUAGGUUUGCGACGCGCCACGCCCACGCCAUCCCUUCUGUUUAAUGCCGUUCGCCACCUGUCGCCUUAUCUUUUUGGGCUAUGCUCAAUUUCUCGUGAAAUUCCUUCUCUCUUGGAUGAUUGCCCUCACCCAAUGUGAUAUUAGAGCAUCUCCAAUGCAUAGUUGCUAGUUGGGUUGCUUAAAAAAUAUUUCGGUGGGUCCAGACUGACACAUAGGAUUUAAGCAACCCAAGCAGAAUUCGCUCCAACCACGAUUACUUAGUUUACUUUUA